rnacentral:rRNA from 1 species
AGGAAAUCGUGUUCCUUGGGGUGGGGGGUUUACAUGCAAGUCGGACGGACUCUUCGGGAGUUGUGGCGGACGGGUGAGUAACGCGUGAGAACCUGGCUUCAGGUCUGGGACAACCACUGGAAACGGUGGCUAAUACCGGAUGUGCCUAUGGGUAAAAGGCUUGCUGCCUGAAGAUGAGCUCGCGUCUGAUUAGCUAGUAGGUGGGGUAAAGGCUUACCUAGGCGACGAUCAGUAGCUGGUCUGAGAGGAUGAUCAGCCACACUGGGACUGAGACACGGCCCAGACUCCUACGGGAGGCAGCAGUGGGGAAUUUUGGACAAUGGGGGCAACCCUGAUCCAGCGACGCCGCGUGGGUGAUGAAGGCCUUCGGGUUGUAAAGCCCUUUCGACGGGGACGAUGAUGACGGUACCCGGCGAAGAAGCACCGGCUAACUCCGUGCCAGCAGCCGCG